AUUGAACGCUGGCGGCAUGCCUUACACAUGCAAGUCGAACGGCAGCACGGGAGCAAUCCUGGUGGCGAGUGGCGAACGGGUGAGUAAAGUAUCGGAACGUGCCCAGUCGUGGGGGAUAACGUAGCGAAAGUUACGCUAAUACCGCAUACGAUCUAUGGAUGAAAGCGGGGGAUCGCAAGACCUCGCGCGAUUGGAGCGGCCGAUAUCAGGUUAGGUAGUUGGUGGGGUAAAGGCUCACCAAGCCGACGAUCUGUAGCUGGUCUGAGAGGACGACCGGCCACACUGGGACUGAGACACGGCCCAGACUCCUACGGGAGGCAGCAGUGGGGAAUUUUGGACAAUGGGCGAAAGCCUGAUCCAGCCAUGCCGCGUGCAGGAUGAAGGCCUUCGGGUUGUAAACUGCUUUUGUACGGAACGAAAAGGUUUGGCCUAAUAAGCUGAGCUCAUGACAGUACCGUAAGAAUAAGCACCGGCUAACUACGUGCCAGCAGCCGCCGUAA
rnacentral:rRNA from 1 species